CCGCCCGUCACACCAUGGGAGUCAGAUGCUCCAGAAGUGGCUGAGCCAACCGCAAGGAGGCAGGUCCCCAAGGAGUGUCUGGUAACUGGGGUG
rnacentral:rRNA from 1 species